rnacentral:rRNA from 1 species
GACGAACUCUGGUAUUGAUUGGUGCUUGCAUCAUGAUUUACAUUUGAGUGAGUGGCGAACUGGUGAGUAACACGUGGGAAACCUGCCCAGAAGCGGGGGAUAACACCUGGAAACAGAUGCUAAUACCGCAUAACAACUUGGACCGCAUGGUCCGAGCUUGAAAGAUGGCUUCGGCUAUCACUUUUGGAUGGUCCCGCGGCGUAUUAGCUAGAUGGUGGGGUAACGGCUCACCAUGGCAAUGAUACGUAGCCGACCUGAGAGGGUAAUCGGCCACAUUGGGACUGAGACACGGCCCAAACUCCUACGGGAGGCAGCAGUAGGGAAUCUUCCACAAUGGACGAAAGUCUGAUGGAGCAACGCCGCGUGAGUGAAGAAGGGUUUCGGCUCGUAAAACUCUGUUGUUAAAGAAGAACAUAUCUGAGAGUAACUGUUCAGGUAUUGACGGUAUUUAACCAGAAAGCCACGGCUAACUACGUGCCAGCAGCCGCGGUAAUACGUAGGUGGCAAGCGUUGUCCGGAUUUAUUGGGCGUAAAGCGAGCGCAGGCGGUUUUUUAAGUCUGAUGUGAAAGCCUUCGGCUCAACCGAAGAAGUGCAUCGGAAACUGGGAAACUUGAGUGCAGAAGAGGACAGUGGAACUCCAUGUGUAGCGGUGAAAUGCGUAGAUAUAUGGAAGAACACCAGUGGCGAAGGCGGCUGUCUGGUCUGUAACUGACGCUGAGGCUCGAAAGUAUGGGUAGCAAACAGGAUUAGAUACCCUGGUAGUCCAUACCGUAAACGAUGAAUGCUAAGUGUUGGAGGGUUUCCGCCCUUCAGUGCUGCAGCUAACGCAUUAAGCAUUCCGCCUGGGGAGUACGGCCGCAAGGCUGAAACUCAAAGGAAUUGACGGGGGCCCGCACAAGCGGUGGAGCAUGUGGUUUAAUUCGAAGCUACGCGAAGAACCUUACCAGGUCUUGACAUACUAUGCAAAUCUAAGAGAUUAGACGUUCCCUUCGGGGACAUGGAUACAGGUGGUGCAUGGUUGUCGUCAGCUCGUGUCGUGAGAUGUUGGGUUAAGUCCCGCAACGAGCGCAACCCUUAUUAUCAGUUGCCAGCAUUAAGUUGGGCACUCUGGUGAGACUGCCGGUGACAAACCGGAGGAAGGUGGGGAUGACGUCAAAUCAUCAUGCCCCUUAUGACCUGGGCUACACACGUGCUACAAUGGAUGGUACAACGAGUUGCGAACUCGCGAGAGUAAGCUAAUCUCUUAAAGCCAUUCUCAGUUCGGAUUGUAGGCUGCAACUCGCCUACAUGAAGUCGGAAUCGCUAGUAAUCGCGGAUCAGCAUGCCGCGGUGAAUACGUUCCCGGGCCUUGUACACACCGCCCGUCACACCAUGAGAGUUUGUAACACCCAAAGUCGGUGGGGUAACCUUU